rnacentral:rRNA from 1 species
AUUGAACGCUGGCGGCAUGCCUUACACAUGCAAGUCGAACGGCAGCACGGGAGCAAUCCUGGUGGCGAGUGGCGAACGGGUGAGUAAUAUAUCGGAACGUGCCCAGUCGUGGGGAUAACGUAGCGAAAGCUACGCUAAUACCGCAUACGAUCUAUGGAUGAAAGCGGGGGAUCGCAAGACCUCGCGCGAUUGGAGCGGCCGAUAUCAGAUUAGGUAGUUGGUGAGGUAAAGGCUCACCAAGCCGACGAUCUGUAGCUGGUCUGAGAGGACGACCAGCCACACUGGGACUGAGACACGGCCCAGACUCCUACGGGAGGCAGCAGUGGGGAAUUUUGGACAAUGGACGCAAGUCUGAUCCAGCCAUUCCGCGUGCAGGAUGAAGGCCCUCGGGUUGUAAACUGCUUUUGUACGGAACGAAAAGGUUUCUAUUAAUACUAGGAGCUCAUGACGGUACCGUAAGAAUAAGCACCGGCUAACUACGUGCCAG